GAUGAAGAACGUAGCGAAAUGCGAUAAGUAGUGUGAAUUGUAGAAUUUAGUGAAUCAUUGAAUCUUUGAACGCACAUUGCGCCCCUUGGUAUUCCAUGGGGCAUGCCUGUUCGAGCGUUAUUUGUACCUUCAAGCUCUGCUUGGUGUUGGGUGUUUGUCUCGCCUCUGCGUGUAGACUCGCCUCAAAACAAUUGGUAGCCGGCGUAUUGAUUUCGGAGCGCAGUACAUCUCGCGCUUUGCACUCAUAACGACGACGUCCAAAAGUACAUUUUUACACUCUUGACCUCGGAUCAGGUAGGGAUACCCGCUGAACUUAAGCAUAUCAAUAAGCGGAGGA
rnacentral:misc_RNA from 1 species